rnacentral:rRNA from 1 species
AACGAACGCUGGCGGCAUGCCUAACACAUGCAAGUCGAACGAGACCUUCGGGUCUAGUGGCGCACGGGUGCGUAACGCGUGGGAACCUGCCCUUAGGUUCGGAAUAACUCCCCGAAAGGGGUGCUAAUACCGGAUAAUGUCUUCGGACCAAAGAUUUAUCGCCUUUGGAUGGGCCCGCGUUGGAUUAGCUAGUUGGUAGGGUAAAAGACUACCAAGGCGACGAUCCAUAGCUGGUCUGAGAGGAUGAUCAGCCACACUGGGACUGAGACACGGCCCAGACUCCUACGGGAGGCAGCAGUGGGGACUAUUGGACAAUGGGCGAAAGCCUGAUCCAGCAAUGCCGCGUGAGUGAUUAAGGCCUUAGGGUUGUAAAGCUCUUUUACCCGGGAUGAUAAUGACAGUACCGGUAGAAUAAGCUCCGGCUAACUCCUU